AACGAACGCUGGCGGCAGGCCUAACACAUGCAAGUCGAGCGAGGACUUCGGUUCUAGCGGCGGACGGGGGAGUGACGCGUGGGAAUGUGCCCUUCUCUACACAAUAGCACUGCGAAACUGGGAGUAAUCCCUUACAUGCCCAUUUGGUGGAUGAUUCAUCGUAGUAGGAUCACCUCGCGUUGGAUUAGGUGGUGCGGCGGGGUAUGGCCUACCAAUGCGACGUUCGUUAGCUGGUUAGAGAGUAUGAGCCGCCACACCGGGUCUGAGACACGGCCCGGAAUCCUACGGGAUGCAGGAAUGGGGAAACGUAGACUACGGGGGCAACCAUGAGCUCGCCAUGCUGCGAGAGUGAUGAAGGCCUUAGGGAUGGAGUGUUCUUUCAGCUGGGAAGAUAAUGACGGUACCAGAAGAAGAAGCCCCGGCUAACUACGUG
rnacentral:rRNA from 1 species